AGGCGAACGCUGGCGGCGUGCCUAAUACAUGCAAGUCGAGCGGACAGAAGGGAGCUUGCUCCCGGAUGUUAGCGGCGGACGGGUGAGUAACACGUGGGUAACCUGCCUGUAAGACUGGGAUAACUCCGGGAAACCGGAGCUAAUACCGGAUAGUUCCUUGAACCGCAUGGUUCAAGGAUGAAAGACGGUUUCGGCUGUCACUUACAGAUGGACCCGCGGCGCAUUAGCUAGUUGGUGGGGUAAUGGCUCACCAAGGCGACGAUGCGUAGCCGACCUGAGAGGGUGAUCGGCCACACUGGGACUGAGACACGGCCCAGACUCCUACGGGAGGCAGCAGUAGGGAAUCUUCCGCAAUGGACGAAAGUCUGACGGAGCAACGCCGCGUGAGUGAUGAAGGUUUUCGGAUCGUAAAGCUCUGUUGUUAGGGAAGAACAAGUGCGAGAGUAACUGCUCGCACCUUGACGGUACCUAACCAGAAAGCCACGGCUAACUACGUGCCAGCAGCCGCGGUAAUACGUAGGUGGCAAGCGUUGUCCGGAAUUAUUGGGCGUAAAGGGCUCGCAGGCGGUUUCUUAAGUCUGAUGUGAAAGCCCCCGGCUCAACCGGGGAGGGUCAUUGGAAACUGGGAAACUUGAGUGCAGAAGAGGAGAGUGGAAUUCCACGUGUAGCGGUGAAAUGCGUAGAGAUGUGGAGGAACACCAGUGGCGAAGGCGACUCUCUGGUCUGUAACUGACGCUGAGGAGCGAAAGCGUGGGGAGCGAACAGGAUUAGAUACCCUGGUAGUCCACGCCGUAAACGAUGAGUGCUAAGUGUUAGGGGGUUUCCGCCCCUUAGUGCUGCAGCUAACGCAUUAAGCACUCCGCCUGGGGAGUACGGUCGCAAGACUGAAACUCAAAGGAAUUGACGGGGGCCCGCACAAGCGGUGGAGCAUGUGGUUUAAUUCGAAGCAACGCGAAGAACCUUACCAGGUCUUGACAUCCUCUGACAACCCUAGAGAUAGGGCUUUCCCUUCGGGGACAGAGUGACAGGUGGUGCAUGGUUGUCGUCAGCUCGUGUCGUGAGAUGUUGGGUUAAGUCCCGCAACGAGCGCAACCCUUGAUCUUAGUUGCCAGCAUUCAGUUGGGCACUCUAAGGUGACUGCCGGUGACAAACCGGAGGAAGGUGGGGAUGACGUCAAAUCAUCAUGCCCCUUAUGACCUGGGCUACACACGUGCUACAAUGGACAGAACAAAGGGCUGCAAGACCGCAAGGUUUAGCCAAUCCCAUAAAUCUGUUCUCAGUUCGGAUCGCAGUCUGCAACUCGACUGCGUGAAGCUGGAAUCGCUAGUAAUCGCGGAUCACAUCCGGGGGGAAAAAAAAAUUUUCCCGGGGCCUGUGAACA
rnacentral:rRNA from 1 species